UUGUGUGUAAGUCAUUGAUUUGCUGGGACUCAUGUUCUGCUUUGGGAGCAGAGGGUCGUGAGUUCGAAUCCCACCGCCCCGACCA
rnacentral:tRNA from 1 species